rnacentral:rRNA from 1 species
AGUGAACGCUGGCGGUAGGCCUAACACAUGCAAGUCGAACGGCAGCACAGUAAGAGCUUGCUCUUACGGGUGGCGAGUGGCGGACGGGUGAGGAAUACAUCGGAAUCUACUUUUUCGUGGGGGAUAACGUAGGGAAACUUACGCUAAUACCGCAUACGCCCUACGGGUGAAAGCAGGGGAUCUUCGGACCUUGCGCGAUUGAAUGAGCCGAUGUCGGAUUAGCUAGUUGGCGGGGUAAAGGCCCACCAAGGCGACGAUCCGUAGCUGGUCUGAGAGGAUGAUCAGCCACACUGGAACUGAGACACGGUCCAGACUCCUACGGGAGGCAGCAGUGGGGAAUAUUGGACAAUGGGCGCAAGCCUGAUCCAGCCAUACCGCGUGGGUGAAGAAGGCCUUCUGGUUGUAAAGCCCUUUUGUUGGGAAAGAAAAGCAGCAGGUUAAUACCCCGCUGUUCUGACGGUACCCAAAGAAUAAGCACCGGCUAACUUCGUG